CAAACCAAAGCUGGCGACCGGCGCACGGGUGAGUAACACGUGUCCAACCUGCCUCAUACUCGGGGAUAGCCUUUCGAAAGAAAGAUUAAUAUCCGAUAGCAUAUAUUUCCCGCAUGGGUUUUAUAUUAAAGAAAUUCGGUAUGAGAUGGGGAUGCGUUCCAUUAGUUUGUUGGGGGGUAACGGCCCACCAAGACUACGAUGGAUAGGGGUUCUGAGAGGAAGGUCCCCCACAUUGGAACUGAGACACGGUCCAA
rnacentral:rRNA from 1 species